GACGAACGCUGGCGGCGUGCCUAACACAUGCAAGUCGAACGGUAAGGCCCUUCGGGGUACACGAGUGGCGAACGGGUGAGUAACACGUGGGUGAUCUGCCCUGCACUUCGGGAUAAGCCUGGGAAACUGGGUCUAAUACCGGAUAGGACCACUGCCUGCAUGGGUGGUGGUGGAAAGCUUUUGCGGUGUGGGAUGGGCCCGCGGCCUAUCAGCUUGUUGGUGGGGUGAUGGCCUACCAAGGCGACGACGGGUAGCCGGCCUGAGAGGGUGACCGGCCACACUGGGACAGAGAUACGGCCCAGACUCCUACGGGAGGCAGCAGUGGGGAAUAUUGCACAAUGGGCGCAAGCCUGAUGCAGCGACGCCGCGUGAGGGAUGACGGCCUUCGGGUUGUAAACCUCUUUCAGCACCGACGAAGCGCAAGUGACGGUAGGUGCAGAAGAAGGACCGGCCAACUACGUGCCAGCCGCCGCGGUAA
rnacentral:rRNA from 1 species